rnacentral:rRNA from 1 species
CCUACGGGUGGCUGCAGUGGGGAAUAUUGCACAAUGGGGGAAACCCUGAUGCAGCGACGCCGCGUGAGUGAAGAAGUAUCUCGGUACGUAAAGCUCUAUCAGCAGGGAAGAAAAUGACGGUACCUGACUAAGAAGCCCCGGCUAACUACGUGCCAGCAGCCGCGGUAAUACGUAGGGGGCAAGCGUUAUCCGGAUUUACUGGGUGUAAAGGGAGCGUAGACGGCAGCACAAGUCUGGAGUGAAAUCCCGGGGCUGAACCCCGGAACUGCUUUGGAAACUGUGCGGCUGGAGUGCAGGAGGGGUAAGCGGAAUUCCUAGUGGAGCGGUGGAAAGCGGAGGUAAUAGGAGGAACACCGGUGGCGAAGGCGGCUUACUGGACUGUAACUGACGUUGAGGCUCGAAAGCGUGGGGAGCAAACAGGAUUAGAUACCCUAGUAGUC